UGGAGCUAAUCCCUUAAAGCUACUCUCAGUUCGGAUUGUAGGCUGAAACUCGCCUACAUGAAGCUGGAGUUACUAGUAAUCGCAGAUCAGAAUGCUGCGGUGAAUGCGUUCCCGGGUCUUGUACACACCGCCCGUCACACCACGGGAGUUGGAGACGCCCGAAGCCGAUUAUCUAACCUUUUGGAAGAAGUCGUCGAAGGUGGAAUCAAUAACUGGGGUGAAGUCGUAACAAGGUAGCCGUAUCGGAAGGUGCGGCUGGAUCACCUCCUUUCUAAGGAGA
rnacentral:rRNA from 1 species